GAUGAAGAACGUAGCGAAAUGAGAUAAGUAAUGUGAAUUGCAGAAUUCAGUGAAUCAUCGAAUCUUUGAACGCACAUUGCGCCCGCCAGCACUCUGGCGGGCAUGCCUGUUCGAGCGUCAUUUCAACCAUCAAGCCCCCAGGGGCUUGUGCUGGGGCCCUGCGGCUGCCCGCAGGCCCUGAAAACCAGUGGCGGGCUCGCUAGUCACACCGAGCGCAGUAGCACAUCUCGCUCAGGGCGUGCGGCGGGCUCCUGCCGUGAAACCCCCCACUGUAACCCCAAAGGUUGACCUCGGAUCAGGUAGGAAUACCCGCUGAACUUAAGCAUAUCAAUAAGCGGAGGA
rnacentral:misc_RNA from 1 species